rnacentral:rRNA from 1 species
GAUGAACGCUGGCGGCGUGCCUAAUACAUGCAAGUCGAGCGAACGGACGAGAAGCUUGCUUUUCUGAUGUUAGCGGCGGACGGGUGAGUAACACGUGGAUAACCUACCUAUAAGACUGGGAUAACUUCGGGAAACCGGAGCUAAUACCGGAUAAUAUUUUGAACCGCAUGGUUCAAAAGUGAAAGACGGUCUUGCUGUCACUUAUAGAUGGAUCCGCGCUGCAUUAGCUAGUUGGUAAGGUAACGGCUUACCAAGGCAACGAUGCAUAGCCGACCUGAGAGAGUGAUAGGCCACACUAGAACUGGGACACGGUCCAGACUCCUACGGGAGGCAGCAGUAGGGAAUCUGCCGCAAAGGGCGAAAGCCUGACGGAGCAACGCCGCGUGAGUGAUGAAGGUCUUCGGAUCGUAAAACUCUGUUAUUAGGGAAGAACAUAUGUGUAAGUAAAUGUGGACAUCUUGACGGUAACUAAUCAGAAAGCCACGGCUAACUACGUG